AUUGAACGCUGGCGGCAUGCCUUACACAUGCAAGUCGAACGGCAGCACGGGUGCUUGCACCUGGUGGCGAGUGGCGAACGGGUGAGUAAUACAUCGGAACGUACCUUAUCGUGGGGGAUAACGCAGCGAAAGCUGUGCUAAUACCGCAUACGCCCUGAGGGGGAAAGCGGGGGAUCGAAAGACCUCGCGCGAUUAGAGCGGCCGAUGCCUGAUUAGCUUGUUGGUGGGGUAAAAGCCCACCAAGGCGACGAUCAGUAGCUGGUCUGAGAGGACGAUCAGCCACACUGGGACGGAGACACGGCCCAGCCUCCUACGGGAGGCAGCAGUGGGGAAUUUUGGACAAUGGGGGCAACCCUGAUCCAGCAAUGCCGCGUGAGUGAAGAAGGCCUUCGGGUUGUAAGGCUCUUUUGUCAGGGAAGAAACACCGGCUCUAACACAGUCCGGGAAUGACGGUACCUGAAGAAUAAGCACCGGCUAACUACGUGCCAGCCGCCGCAGUAA
rnacentral:rRNA from 1 species